rnacentral:lncRNA from 1 species
GAAGUGAUUCAGAGUCAUGCUUUCUUGUAGAAAAAUGAAGACUGCCACCUAAAGGAAGUGCCAGCAGUAGUUAACCAAGUAUGGCAGAUCAAAUAUGGUCGGCUGCCCCCAUCAAGAGAUCAUCAGGAGACUUACUAGAUCAUCGGGAUACCCAGUAGGAUAAAGUGAAAUAACCCAGAAGUCUGGGCAAGUUCAGAGGAUUGCGCACCAUCCAAAAACAGAGGAGGUGGGAGCCUAACCUUGUUUAUCCUUGAAGAAUUUACCCAGUCACAAGAGCAUCUCCUCCAAGAAGCAUUUCUGAUCAGAUCACCUCUCCAGAUGAGAUACGGUGUCCUUUCUCUGUGCAGCCAUAGAUUCCAUGCCUACUUCUAACAUCGUUUAUUCUACGCUAUAUGUAAGUAUCUUCACAUCAGAUUCUGAGUACCCUGAGGGUAGAAAUUGAGUAUUACUUAUAACUA